AUUGAACGCUGGCGGCAGGCCUGACACAUGCAAGUCGAGCGGUAGAGAGAAGCUUGCUUCUCUUGAGAGCGGCGGACGGGUGAGUAAUGCCUAGGAAUCUGCCUGGUAGUGGGGGAUAACGUUCGGAAACGGACGCUAAUACCGCAUACGUCCUACGGGAGAAAGCAGGGGACCUUCGGGCCUUGCGCUAUCAGAUGAGCCUAGGUCGGAUUAGCUAGUUGGUGGGGUAAUGGCUCACCAAGGCGACGAACCGUAACUGGUCUGAGAGGAUGAUCAGUCACACUGGAACUGAGACACGGUCCAGACUCCUACGGCAGGCAGCAGUGGGGAAUAUUGGACAAUGGGCGAAAGCCUGAUCCAGCCAUGCCGCGUGUGUGAAGAAGGUCUUCGGAUUGUAAAGCACUUUAAGUUGGGAGGAAGGGCAGUAAAUUAAUACUUUGCUGUUUUGACGUUACCGACAGAAUAAGCACCGGCUAACUCUGUGCCAGCCGCCGCCGUAA
rnacentral:rRNA from 1 species